rnacentral:rRNA from 1 species
GCGGCCUAUCAGCUUGUUGGUGGGGUAGUGGCUUACCAAGGCUUUGACGGGUAGCCGGCCUGAGAGGGUGACCGGCCACAUUGGGACUGAGAUACGGCCCAGACUCCUACGGGAGGCAGCAGUGGGGAAUAUUGCACAAUGGGCGGAAGCCUGAUGCAGCAACGCCGCGUGCGGGAUGACGGCCUUCGGGUUGUAAACCGCUUUCGCCUGUGACGAAACGUGAGUGACGGUAAUGGGUAAAGAAGCACCGGCUAACUACGUGCCAGCAGCCGCGGUGAUACGUAGGGUGCGAGCGUUGUCCGGAUUUAUUGGGCGUAAAGGGCUCGUAGGUGGUUGAUCGCGUCGGAAGUGUAAUCUUGGGGCUUAACCCUGAGCGUGCUUUCGAUACGGGUUGACUUGAGGAAGGUAGGGGAGACUGGAAUUCCU